UGAGGAAUAUUGGUCAAUGGGCGAGAGCCUGAACCAGCCAAGUAGCGUGCAGGAUGACGGCCCUAUGGGUUGUAAACUGCUUUUACGCGGGGAUAAAGUGCGUGACGUGUCGCGCAUCGCAGGUACCGCGUGAAUAAGGACCGGCUAAUUCCGUGCCAGCAGCCGCGGUAAUACGGAAGGUCCAGGCGUUAUCCGGAUUUAUUGGGUUUAAAGGGAGCGUAGGCUGUUUGUUAAGCGUGUUGUGAAAUGUAAGAGCUCAACUUUUAGAUUGCAGCGCGAACUGGCAGACUUGAGUGCGCACAACGUAGGCGGAAUUCAUGGUGUAGCGGUGAAAUGCUUAGAUAUCAUGACGAACUCCGAUUGCGAAGGCAGCUUACGGGAGCGCAACUGACGCUAAAGCUCGAAGGUGCGGGUAUCGAACAGG
rnacentral:rRNA from 1 species